rnacentral:rRNA from 1 species
AUGGUAAACCUAGGGAACUAUGAAGAUGGUGGCAGGAGGAUGUACCUGCGGCGUCUGGAGAUGGGUGCAGCAACAGCCGGCGCGCGGAGGUGGCUGGUUCUGGCGGCCCUGUCGAGCAACACCAUGAGACGGGAGCAGAGGUGCUGGUUCCGGCGGCAGCAGAGGCUGCAGCAUGAGACGGGAGCAGAGGUUGCUGGUUCCGGCGACAACAGAGGCUGCAGCUCGCACAUCUGCCCUGAGACCGAUGUGGCCGGACUGGUUCCGGCGGAUGUGGCCGGACGGCGACUAUACGUCCAUCGAGAGGAGGAACUGGUGUUUCUGGCGACGUGCGUUCAGGGCUCGAUGGAGCUCUCACACUUUUUUUUUUCUGUUUUGGUUUGGCUCGGACGUUUUUUUCUUUGGUUUGGGCAUGGAGGUCUUUUUUGGUCAAUGCAUGGAGUGGACGUGGUUCGUGGAUUGAGUCGCAACUGUAAUUUUUCUCCUGCUGGUGCGUGA